GACCUCGGAUCAGGUAGGGAUACCCGCUGAACUUAAGCAUAUCAA
rnacentral:rRNA from 16 species